AUGGAAACCCUCCUCGACCCUGCAUCGUUGACCUUCGAGGAGGUCACGGGCCAUCUGCGCGCGAUCGAGGAGCGCAUGGAUGGUGACCAGAGCAGCGGCUCCGCAGGCGGGCAGCUGCUCCUCACGGAGGAACAGUGGGAGGCACGCAAGCGCCAGCCCCGUGGCGGUGGUUCUGGCGUCAAGAACGACGACCGCGGCAAGAGGAGCGGCCAGCCGCCUCCUACCUCGACUCCGCCUGGCUCGGCUCAAGGCAUGGACAAGGACCAGUGCCGUUACUGCCGCAAGAAAGGCCACUGGGCCAAAGACUGCCGCAAGAAGAAGCGCGACGAGGCUGCCAAGGCAGGUGCAGCACCGCCGGCGGCGACCGCAAACCUCGCCGAGGCAGAGGAGGAUGGCGGUCCUGGCCUCAUGAUGGCGUGUGUCGAGGAAGGACGCGAGGGCAUAGAUCACGCGGCCACCCCUGCAUCAACACUGGUGACCGCGUCGUGCAACUCUGCGGUGCACAACGGCGGCCAUGUCUUUCUGAACGAAGAGAAGGCCAUCAUCACGCCCUCCCUCGACGGCGAUCAGGGGCGGCAGUCGUGGUUCCUCGACACUGGAGCCACGAAUCACAUGACAGGCUCCCUGGAGUCCUUCGCAGAGCUGGACAGGUCGGUGUCUAGCACGGUGCGCUUUGCUGACGGAUCAAUGGUGCAGAUCUGCGGCCGUGGGACGAUGGUGUUCGCCCACAACGCUUUCACUCAGGUGUACUACAUACCUACACUGAAGAAUAGCGUGGUCAGUCUAGGACAGCUGGAUGAGAGCUUGUACGAUGUGCACAUCCGGCGUGGCGUACUCACCAUCCGCGAUGAUCGCGGGCAGCUCCUCGUCAAGGUAUCGCGCUCCAUCAAUCGCCUGUACAAACUCGUCUUCACGUCUGUGCAUCCAGUGUGCCUUGCUGCGGGGGCGCUCUCUGACACCUGGCGCUGGCACGCAAGGCUCGGCGACCUGCACUUCAACGGCCUGGAGAAGAUGGCCAAGAAAGAGCUGGUGCGCGGGCUCCCGCACAUUGCUCACGCCGAGGAGCUGUGCGAGGCCUGUCUUGCAGGGAAACAGCAUCGCAUUCCAUUCCCGCAGAAGGCCAAGUACAGGGCGACGGCACCACUAGAGCUUGUGCACGGUGACCUGUGCGGCCCCGUCUCUCCACCAACACCUGGGGGCGGCGUUACGUGCUCGUGCUGA
rnacentral:rRNA from 1 species